UUCCUGAAACAAUGUAGACUGAAUGGGGUAUAUCCGAAUUCCAUUUUCCCGUUGAAGUUACCGGUGAAAUUGAAGACUUUGCUGAUUAGAACUAGAAAUAGUUGUUUGUCCGCAGUGAUUAUAGAUGCUAGAAGAGAUCUUUUUAGGUGGAAAAAUCACUUAGAGAAAAAAGACCUAAGGAAUCCAAAAGUUGACAAUCUUGCUCAACCCGUACCAUCUUUUUCACAGUUUAUUAAUGCAAACCAAUGAAUGGUCAACAAUAGGUUUAGGAAGAAACUCAAGUGGAUUAUGUUCAAGCAGCUCAAAAAGAAGGAUAUAACAAAACCUAACACAUAUCUUGCACUGGAUGGUAUAGAAGUACUGGACUAUGUGGAUGAAGUAAUGAAGUUAGGACCCAAUACUUUAAUACAAGACUUACCAAUAGGAGAGAAUUUAGCCAUACAGUUAGAACCUAUUUUACAAACUUGUGAUCAGUUGGUUGCUGAUGAUAUUAGAUGGCAAAUAGUGAGAGAUAUAAGGAGUAGCCAUUUAGAAACCCG
rnacentral:lncRNA from 1 species